rnacentral:rRNA from 1 species
UCAUGCUGAAUCAAAUAGGUAUGAGAAGGGAACCGCCUGAACUGAAACAUCUAAGUAGGGCGAGGAAAAGACAUCAACCGAGAUUCCGCGAGUAGUGGCGAGCGAAAGCGGAUCAGGCCAAACCGGAGGUAGCAAUAUCUCCGGGGUUACGGACAGCAACAUGAAGGAAGUUUUCUAAAAGAACGGCAUGGGAAGGCCGGCCAGAGAGUGUGAGAGCCACGUAUUUGAAAGAGAACUUUUGGAUAGCUGGAUCCAGAGUACCGCGGGACACGAGGAAUCCCGUGGGAAGUCGGGGGGACCACCCUCCAAGCCUAAAUACUACCUGAUGACCGAUAGAGGAGCAGUACCGUGAGGGAAAGGUGAAAAGAACCCCGGGAGGGGAGUGAAAGAGUACCUGAAACCUUGUGCUUACAAGCAGUCAAAGCCCGUUAAAGGGUGAUGGCGUACUUUUUGUAGAACGGUCCGGCGAGUUAUAGUAACUGGCAAGGUUAAGGUAUUGAGUACCGAAGCCGAAGGGAAACCGAGUGUGAAGAGCGCGAAUAAAGUCAGUUGCCAUAGACCCGAAACCAGGUGACCUAGCCAUGACCAGGCUGAAGUGGAGGUAAAGCUCCAUGGAGGGCCGAACCCACGUUCGUUGCAAUGACCGGGGAUGAGUUGUGGCUAGCGGUGAAAUUCCAAACGAACCUGGAGAUAGCUGGUUCUCCCCGAAAUAGUUUUAGGACUAGCGUUGGCAAUGAGUUUCGCGGUGGUAAAGCACUGAAUGGGCUAGGGGGCGAUAAGCUUACUGAACCCUAUCAAACUAAGAAUGCCGCAGAAAUGCUUACCAGCAGUCAGACUACGAGUAAUAAAAUCCGUGGUCAAAAGGGAAAUAGCCCAGACCCACAGCUAAGGUCCCGAAUACAUGCUAAGUGGAAAACGAUGUGAGAUUGCAGAAACAACCAGGAUGUUGGCUUAGAGGCAGCCACUCGUUCAAAGAGUGCGUAAUAGCUCACUGGUCGAGUGAUCUUGCGCGGAAAAUUUAACGGGGCUAAGCAUGUAACCGAAGCUUGGGAUUCACGCGUAAGUGUGAGUGGUAGGGGAGCGUCGAAUACGGGGUGAAGUCGCACCGGAAGGAGCGGUGGACUGUAUUCGAGUGAGAAUGCCGGAAUGAGUAGCGAGAAUUAUGUGGGAAUCAUAAUGGCCGAAAAUCUAAGGUUUCCUGGGGAAGGUUCGUCCGCCCAGGGUAAGCCGGGAGCUAAGGCGAGGCCGCAAGGCGUAGUCGAUGCACAUACGGUAGAAAUUCCGUAGCCGGUACAAUUGUUAAUCACGGUGACACAUGAGUAUAGCUCUACCGGGCGUUGGUCGCCCCGGGCGAAAGCGAGCCGAAUGAGGCGAAGUGAGUAAAGCUUGUGGCGAGAAAAGCCGUGUGGAUUGGUUGUACUGCCCGUACCGCAAACCGACACAGGUAGAUGAGGAGAAGAUCCUAAGGCCAACGGGAGAAGGGUUGUUAAGGAACUAGGCAAAUUGACCCCGUAACUUCGGAAUAAGGGGUGCCUACGAAAGUAGGUCGCAGAGAAUAGGCCCAAGCAACUGUUUACCAAAAACACAGGUCUCUGCUAAAUCGAAAGAUGACGUAUAGGGGCUGACGCCUGCCCGGUGCUGGAAGGUUAAGAGGAGAGCUUAGGGAAACCGAAGGUUCGAAUUGAAGCCCCAGUAAACGGCGGCCGUAACUAUAACGGUCCUAAGGUAGCGAAAUUCCUUGUCAGGUAAGUUCUG